CAAAAUAAGUGCAGACACAAAAUAAAAUCGAACACAAACAUCGAAUGCCCUUAGAAUAAACUGUGAAAUUGUAAAACUCAUUAAAAUGACAAUGGAAUAAAUAAAUAUUAUUGACUUUGGUUUAUUGGUUGUGGAUCGAGCCUGCGACUGGCAGGACUAUUAUGGAAAUUAAUUAAAUUACGCACAGAUAUGGAUACUAGAUGGGCAGAUACGAGGAUAAUUGCCAGUUCAGGACCAGAAUAUAAUAACUAGAUAUUAUUAAGCAUUAUAUUUGAGUUAAAUGGCUCGAAAUGAGAAGGAAGUUGCCCCCAUUAAAGGGGUAAACUGUUGCUAAGCCCCCCAAAAGGGUUCCUUGGCCCCCAAAGGCAAACACCGGGGCCAUGGCUAAUAGUGUGAAAACAAAGCAAGGACCUCCACGAAACUGAAACCCAAAAGAGAGCCCACCAACAAGGCCACAAAGGACAACAAAAAAAAUAAGAAAUAUAGAAGAAAAUAUCGUAAAAUACUAAGAAACUGAAAGCGAACCAAAAUUUAACCAAUUUAUGGACUAAGCCCUCCUAAAACACUCUAUAAAGGCCUAUAAUAAUAGAAUGUCAAUGAAAAUGAUAUUAUUCGGUAAUAAGGCGAGGACGUAACAUAAGAAAAUUGUGAUUCCGCCGUAAAUUCUGUCGUCUUCGUGUUAAUUACAUGAACUCAAGCAUGACACCAUUUUGCACAACACUUAUACAGGGCCCACCCCUUAGGGGUGGUAGUGGGAGUUAUGGGCUCGUGACAGAGCCUAACGACAGAAAUCGACAGGCCCGAACAUGCAAAUCAAAUUAUUUUGGAAUAUAAAAUGCUUAUUAACGGAUUAUAUGCUCACUCAAUAUGACUUGGAGAGUGGAGAGAGUGAGAGAGUGGAGAGUGCCUCCCUUUUGGAUCUCCUAUUAAUGGCCGAUAACUUUAUUUAUCGACCAGCCUAGGCUAUCGAAAUAAAUGACACCACCAGGCAACCGGAAGUUAAAGUUACAAAAAAUGUCAGAUUUUGAAGAAGAAAUGGAGACUGAUGGAUGUCCUGGUUAAUAAUCAGGUGACGAAGAAAGGCACUCCCCCUCAAAGACAAAACACCAGGAGAAAAAGAAAUGGAAAGCCCGCCAUUAUGGCAAUUUAAUCGACCGGAAAUAAAGUUCUUAAGCAUCAUAAACAAGAUUUAAUGUGACAAAAAGGCAAAUCACAGUCGGAGGAAGGCGCUUCCCAAAGCCUCGCACAAAAUGUCAAAUGCCAUUUGGCCCAGAGGCGGCGACAAACAAGCCAAAAUGACACCUCCUCCCCAGGACUCUCGCUUCAGCCCUCCAUCCCAGGACAACCCUUACCUUUUCGCAAAAAAACAAAUAAAAAGAAAAGUAUCAACUAUGGGGGGGAUGGAAUGUCUUCGCGGUCUAGUUACAAUUUCAAGAGUUUUCUGUUUUUGGAAAAAAAGUGUCUCCCUAAUCUUCAUUGACUGGAUUGCUUAACAUAUAUGUCUUAUAUAUUUUGCAUAUAUAUUUAUGUGUG
rnacentral:sRNA from 1 species